rfam:Triticum aestivum genome assembly, contig: Triticum_aestivum_CS42_TGACv1_scaffold_094471_2AL
GAAGUACUCUCUCCGUUCCGAAUUACUUGUCUUGGAUUUGUCUAGAUACGGAUGUAUUAUGACUCAUUUUAAUGCAAAAUACUUUUGUAUAUAGACAAAUCUAAGACAAGUAAUUCGAAACGGAGAAAGUAGAUC